GAUGAACGCUAGCGGCAGGCUUAAUACAUGCAAGUCGUGGGGUAGCGCAGUGUAGCAAUACAUGGGCGGCGACCGGCAAACGGGUGCGUAACACGUACGCAAUCUACCCACUACAGGGGAAUAGCCCAGGGAAACUUGGAUUAAUACCCCAUAUUAUAUAGGGUUGGCAUCAACUUUAUAUCAAAGCUUCGGCGGUAGUGGAUGAGCGUGCGGUUGAUUAGAUAGUUGGCGGGGUAACGGCCCACCAAGUCUACGAUCAAUAGCUGAUGUGAGAGCAUGAUCAGCCACACGGGCACUGAGACACGGGCCCGACCCCUACGGGAGGCAGCAGUAAGGAAUAUUGGGCAAUGGACGCAAGUCUGACCCAGCCAUGCCGCGUGAAGGAUGAAGGUCCUCUGGAUUGUAAACUUCUUUUAUCUGGGGCGAAAACAACUCUUUCUAGGGUUCUUGACAGUACCAGAGGAAUAAGCACCGGCUAACUCCGUGCCAGCAGCCGCGGUAAUACGGAGGGUGCAAGCGUUAUCCGGAUUCACUGGGUUUAAAGGGUGCGUAGGCGGGUUAGUAAGUCAGUGGUGAAAUCCCCGAGCUUAACUUGGGAACUGCCGUUGAUACUAUUAGUCUUGAAUAUCGUGGAGGUAAGCGGAAUAUGUCAUGUAGCGGUGAAAUGCUUAGAUAUGACAUAGAACACCAAUUGCGAAGGCAGCUUGCUACACGAUUAUUGACGCUGAGGCACGAAAGCGUGGGGAUCAAACAGGAUUAGAUACCCUGGUAGUCCACGCCCUAAACGAUGAUUACUCGACAUCAGCGAUACACUGUUGGUGUCUAAGCUAAAGCAUUAAGUAAUCCACCUGGGAAGUACGAUCGCAAGAUUGAAACUCAAAGGAAUUGGCGGGGGUCCGC
rnacentral:rRNA from 1 species